GGGGACAACCAGCCGAAAGGUUGGCUAAUACCGCAUGAGUUCUACGGAAGAAAGAGGGGGACCCGCAAGGGCCUCUCGCGAGCGGAGCGGCCGAUGACUGAUUAGCCGGUUGGUGAGGUAACGGCUCACCAAAGCAACGAUCAGUAGCUGGUCUGAGAGGACGACCAGCCACACUGGGACUGAGACACGGCCCAGACUCCUACGGGAGGCAGCAGUGGGGAAUUUUGGACAAUGGGCGCAAGCCUGAUCCAGCUAUUCCGCGUGUGGGAUGAAGGCCCUCGGGUUGUAAACCACUUUUGUAGAGAACGAAAAGACACCUUCGAAUAAAGGGUGUUGCUGACGGUACUCUAAGAAUAAGCACCGGCUAACUACGUGCCAGCAGCCGCGGUAAUACGUAGGGUGCGAGCGUUAAUCGGAAUUACUGGGCGUAAAGGGUGCGCAGGCGGUUGAGUAAGACAGAUGUGAAAUCCCCGAGCUUAACUCGGGAAUGGCAUAUGUGACUGCUCGGCUAGAGUGUGUCAGAGGGAGGUGGAAUUCCACGUGUAGCAGUGAAAUGCGUAGAUAUGUGGAAGAACACCGAUGGCGAAGGCAGCCUCCUGGGACAUAACUGACGCUCAGGCACGAAAGCGUGGGGAGCAAACAGGAUUAGAUACCCU
rnacentral:rRNA from 1 species